rnacentral:rRNA from 1 species
GACGAACGCUGGCGGCGUGCCUAAUACAUGCAAGUCGAGCGAAGUUUUUCUGGUGCUUGCACUAGAAAAACUUAGCGGCGAACGGGUGAGUAACACGUAAAGAACCUGCCUCAUAGACUGGGACAACUAUUGGAAACGAUAGCUAAUACCGGAUAACAGUAUUUCUCGCAUGAGAGAUAUUUAAAAGUUGGUUAUGCUAACACUAUGAGAUGGCUUUGCGGUGCAUUAGCUAGUUGGUGGGGUAAAGGCCCACCAAGGCGACGAUGCAUAGCCGACCUGAGAGGGUGAUCGGACACACUGGGACUGAGACACGGCACAGACACCCACGGGAGGCAGCAGUAGGGAAUCUUCCGCAAUGGGCGAAAGCCUGACGGAGCAACGCCGCGUGAGUGAAGAAGGAGUUAGGUUCGUAAAGCUCUGUUGUUAGGGAAGAAUGGAUAUGUAGUAACUAUACAUGUAAGAGACGGUACCUAACCAGAAAGCCACGGCUAACUACGUG